UCCGAUUUGGCACCACCUGUAUACCGACCACAAGGGGGGCCGUAUCUCUACGGCUUUCCGGUAUAUGUCAAACCCAGGUAAGGUUCUUCGCGUUGCAUCGAAUUAAUCCACAUGCUCCGCCGCUUGUGCGGGCCCCCGUCAAUUCCUUUGAGUUUUAGCCUUGCGGCCGUACUCCCCAGGCGGGGCGCUUAAUGCGUUAGCUACGGCACGGAUCCCGUGGAAGGAAACCCACACCUAGCGCCCACCGUUUACGGCGUGGACUAC
rnacentral:misc_RNA from 1 species